UUUCAGAAAUAGUUGUAUGUU
rnacentral:piRNA from 1 species